GGAUCGAUACGUCGGUCGUGCCUUCGGUACGUACUGUCGUCAUCGAUUUCUCCCUUCUGAAGAACCAUGAUGUCAUUAAUUUGGUGUUAUGGGGAAUCAGGACUGUUACUUUUUGAAAAAUUAGAGUGUUUAAAGCAGGCAUUAGCUUGAAUACAUUAGCAUGGAAUAAUGAAAUAGGACGUUCGAACCUAUUUUGUUGGUUUUUAGGAUCAACGUAAUGAU
rnacentral:rRNA from 1 species